GCUCUGCCACCCCCACCCCCAUGCUCUGUCUCCCUCCCUCUCUAGAUAUGCAGACCCUGCGCACGGCGCAGGCGGCCCUGGGCAAAGGCUGCCUGGCCAGCUCCUUCAUCUGCGUGUACCUGUUCACCGGGGAGCUGUACCCCACGGAGAUCAGGUGUGUGCACAGCUCCCCCGUAGCCGGGAGCCCCUGGCGCUCCGGGCUGAGACCUGCUGGCCUGGCCACCAUGGGCCCCCUCCCCGUCCCCUCUGCUCUCCCGCGCUCCAGGCCCCCGGCCGCUGACUGCUGCCCGCUUCUCCGACAGGCAGAUGGGGAUGGGCUUCGCCUCGGUGAACGCCCGGCUCGGGGGGCUGGCGGCGCCCCUGGUCUCCACGCUCGGGGAGCUGAGCCCCGUCCUGCCGCCCGUGGGCUUUGGGGCCACCUCCAUCCUGGCCGGGCUGGCUGUCUGCCUCCUGCCCGAGACGCGCAACGCCCCCCUGGUGGAGACCAUCGAGGCCAUGGAGAAGAGAGUCAAAGAAGGCUCUUCCCGGAAGGACACGCGAGAGAAGAGCGAGGAAAUUUCCCUCCAGCCGAUGGGAGCCUCUCCCCUCAGAGAAACCGUCUAAGCUGGCAAAGGAGCCCGGCGCUGGCCCCUCAGCCGUGUCAGGCGCCCCCCGCUCGCCUGGACGCUGGCACCGGCCGCGCUCUGCGCCCACGCCCGAGGCCCCACGCACGGGCUGCUGGGGAGGCACCGCAGCGGAGGCCAGCGUGCGUCACAGACGAACGGAAAGAAACGCACCCCAAGGCCCGCGCAGGGCCUGUUUCCUGUGACAACGAAAGGGCUGUUUUCCUUUCCCACCACUUGCUUCUGACCCUUAAAAUUGUCUCUGUUUGCUCUUGUUCCACCUGAAAACGCUGUGUUUUUUGCAGAAUUGAGGUGACACCUGUGCCACAGGGUUGUCCCCAGAGCAGAUCUGCCCCUCCUCUCACGCAGCCUGAAGAAGGCUUGGCCUCAGGGAAACUUCCAGAAUUCAUGCCACACCACUCAUUGGUCAUUUACUCCUUCCUGCCAUGUAUGAUUAAAGCCUUUUCCUCCUGCGUGUGUGACUUACCUCCUCGACAGGCAAGUGUCUCCCCAGCAGGGCCUUGCCACCUGCCUGUCACCCUCCCACAACUCCUCCGUGGGAGUCCUGCAGGCAGAUGGUACCUAUUCAAUAAAUAGCUGAU
rnacentral:lncRNA from 1 species